GAGAUGCAGCACGUGCGUGUGUAUGCAUCUAUCUAUAAGAAUGAUGAGAAUCAAAUGUCGGUAGAUACGUACGUGUGUCCCUUUGAGAAUUUGCGGCUUCAUUUUCCGAGAAACGAGAUGAAUUGUGGGAGUUUGCGUGAUGCUGCGGCGCGGGACAUCCAGCCGAGAUGAGCCCCGCGACUCCCGCCCUCUCUUUUUGUACAUCUACCUUGCAUUUUCCCAUUUUGUUUUGUUAUUUUGUUUUUUUUGGGGGGGGGGGUUUGUUUUUCUUGUAUGAUUUUCUUAUUUUUCGUCUUCUCUCGCCGUGGCGUAAUCGCGGAAUUUAUUUUCCUCUUGCCUUCCUUGGCUUUUGACUUUUGAGCGCUUUGGAUUUAGGCGGGGAGUCGAUUUUUAAUCAUUUCUAUCGAUUUCUUAUUGCUUGAUGAAAUGAUAAGUGUCGUCUGCUAGAACGUUUCGUUUCAAUUUCAACGUGUGUGUCAUUCCAAAAAUGUGCUCGUCAACUCUGGUCGUGGCUCUUUAUGGAAUCUCCGAAUACACUCACCGUAAUGAUUUAAGGCCUGAGCCAGUCAUCAAAUAACCACAAGAUAUUCAAGUUUUGCUUGUACCGGGAUUGACCUGUCACCAACAAUCUCAGCAUCAUCACUUGGAUAAACAGCAUCCCUCUUGAUUGGAGAAACUACUGAUCGAGUUACGGAAUCGCUCUUCUUCCCCUUUCUUAAGUGUGGGUGCCGUCACGAGGACACCCUUAUUCCUGUCUCGUCUAGUGGAUUCAACUAGUCUUCGGAUGGAUGGAGCACUUACAGUGGAUGCCUGGCUGAAUUUCCCAGGCAUAAAGAUUAAGGCUGGAGCCAGCCAUCAUUGCCACAAGAUAUGCCAGUUUUGCUUGUGCUUUGGAUUGACUUGUCGUCAGUCAUCUCAGUGUCAUCCUUUGGGUAAUGAUUUCCGUUUACAAUUCUUCCUGUGA